AUUGAACGCUGGCGGAAUGCUUUACACAUGCAAGUCGAGCGGCAGCGCGGGGGCAACCCUGGCGGCGAGCGGCGAACGGGUGAGUAACAUAUCGGAACGUACCCCGUCGUGGGGGAUAACACAGCGAAAGCUGUGCUAAUACCGCAUACGACCUGAGGGUGAAAGCGGGGGAUCGCAAGACCUCGCGCGAUGGGAGCGGCCGAUAUCGGAUUAGCUUGUUGGUGAGGUAAAGGCUCACCAAGGCGACGAUCCGUAGCUGGUCUGAGAGGACGACCAGCCACACUGGAACUGAGACACGGUCCAGACUCCUACGGGAGGCAGCAGUGGGGAAUUUUGGACAAUGGGCGAAAGCCUGACGCAGCCACGCCGCGUGAGUGAUGAAGGCCUUCGGGUCGUAAAACUCUGUCGGGAGGGACGAAGGGGAAACGUCUGACGGUACCUCGCAAGAAAGGCACCGGCUAACUCUGUGCCAGCAGCCGCGGUAAU
rnacentral:rRNA from 1 species